AGGAUCAACGCUGGCGGCGUGCAUGAGACAUGCAAGUCAAACGGACGACUCGGGCUUGCCUGAGUUGUUAGUGGCGGACGGCUGAGUAACGCGUGGGUGACCUGCCUCGAAGUGGGGAAUAACUGCCCGAAAGGGUGGCUAAUACCGCAUGUGACGGUGCGUUCAUUCGCACCAUGAAAGCAGCAAUGCGCUUCGAGAGGGGCCUGCGUCCGAUUAGCUCGUUGGUGGGGUAACGGCUCACCAAGGCGACGAUCGGUAAGUGGUCUGAGAGGACGAUCACCCAGACUGGGACUGAGACACGGCCCAGACUCCUACGGGAGGCAGCAGUCGGGAAUUUUGCGCAAUGGACGAAAGUCUGACGCAGCAACGCCGCGUGAGGGAUGAAGGCCUUCGGGUUGUAAACCUCUUUUCUCAGGGACGAUAAUGACGGUACCUGAGAAGAAGCCACGGCUAACUACGUGCCAGCAGCCGCGGU
rnacentral:rRNA from 1 species